GACAAAAACCCAAAUCAAACAACUUUCCUCACCAAACAAAACCCAACCCAACCCAGCCGACCACCCCUACCCCUCUCGGUCUAUCUCUCCUCUCGUUCUAUACAUUCAAACACAAAGAAAUCAGCUCCCAACCCACUUGUUUUACCCCCUAUUAAUGGGCCAACCACCACCAUCCUUUGGUGGUGGCAGACUACAACAACAAACACCACCACCACCACAGGCGGCGGCGCUGUGGUGGUUGGUACCGAAUGAUGAAGAGAACAGAACCGCCGCACGCGGCGGCGGUAUGACGGCAAGAGAGAGAGAGAGUAGAGAGAGAUGGUGACAGCGGCUGACUAGCGACGGAGCCGUCUCUCCGACGGCGGCGGCGGUGGUCUGAGACUUAGACCGGCAGUUCGUGUUACGGACCGGUGGUUCGUGUCAAGAUCCAGCGGUUUUUGCUUUUGACUAAUGGGUUAACCGGGAGUAGCGGCUGAAGACGGUGGUGAUGACGAUGGUGACGGCAGUGGCAGCGUGACGGUGGUUGUGUCUCGAUCCACGAGAUUUCCGCAAACGUCAACAGUUGGGGUUCGGGUUAGAUGUUGAGUUUCGGGUUUUCGGGUGCAGGUCAGCGCUGUGGUUCAGCUUGUUGCGGUUCACACGGUUCAGCAGGUUUAAUUUUCGGGCCAACUGGUUAACGGGUUGACUCGGUCAAACUGAGUCAACUCAGUCAACAAGUCAAAGCUGGUCAACAUCGAGUCAUUGCUCGGGCUUGGUCAACUCGGGUCAGAUUAGGAAGCGGUUCGGUCGACUCGGUCAAACCCGGUCAACAGCGAGUUGACUCGGUCAACUCAGCUAGCUCACUCGACAUUUCGUCACGAAGACUUGGAAUAUUGUAGAAUGCACGCUAGCAAGUCCCGACUUGGAAACGACAUCGCAAAGUCGUAUAUAGCUAGCUUUGCACAGGAAUAUUCAGGUUACUUUUCAAACAAUGGAACGGUUGGAAUAGGAGGACCAUGAAGAGUCGAGUACUUAGUGGCGUUCAAUUUCUAGAAGUCUUAGCUUUAUUUGCUUCCGCUGUGCAAUGAAGAUACCAGUCCAGUCACGCCAAUGCUCUGAUAAUUUCGGGGUGUGACAACAAACCCUUAAAAGGGUACCCUCUGAUUCCCACUCUAACUAGGUCAAUUGUCGGGUCAAACUUGAUCUUAAAAAGUCAACAGAAAGCUUUAUUUCAAAUUAAUGCAUAAUAAGCAAUGUAGGAUCCAUGAGACCUGUUUUAUCAUUAAUACAACUUGGUAAUUAAUGUAAGAACAUGUCUAAACAUGUUCACCCCGACAUUUUUCAGUUUAGGUCCGGUUCGGAACCGAAAGUCGCAUAGUUUGACUUAUACUUUGACUUUCAGUUCUGACCCGUUUAAGCCUAGUUUAGGAUUGCCUUAGAGCUUCUUUUGGACCUAGUUACAUGUUAGUAUAACCCUCUGUGAUUAUACGGCUUGGUUCAUUAGUUGUCCAAUUAUUAUGCAAGUUUCCGUUAAUUGCCUAAUUGUCGACUGUUUUGCCCUUUUCACUUUAAAAUGUGAUUUUUGAAAAUGUAAAAGAGUAAACACCUUAGUUACUGAUUUAUAAACUUGUACCCAAAAUUUGAUAUCAGGUUGAGGUAUAGAAUAGGAGUUAUGCUCAUUAGCGUAAAUAAGAAACUUUUUAGUAAUUUAAUGGCAUAAUUAGCAUAUAGCAUAUCUAAACCCAAUUUUUGAUAUCAAACUUUUUACCUACUGAUAUAAAAUAAUAUUUUGGGAUUUUUGGAGAUUUUUAUUUAUUUUUAGGCUGAGCAUAACUUAGAGUUCUAAGUAUAAUUCGGUUAUUGUCGGUUUUGCCCUUUUGGGCUAUAAAAUGAGUUUUACAAAUCUUUUUGAUACCAAACCUUUUUCUACUGAUCUAGUAAGAUAAAUAAAUUAUUUUGAGCCUUCUGGAAUUUUAAAAAUAUCAGCUUUCCUUUGAAAACCCGGAAAUGGCUCCAAAUCGUCUUUUUAAGCGUUUUUAACGCAUAGUAUCUAUAAAAACUAUUUUAAACAUAUAAGGUUUGAUGCCUACUGAUAUAUUCAGUAAAUUUUUAUAUUUUAACAGUAAGCAAAAGUUUUAAAGUCAAAUUCCAGUUUUGACCUUUUAGGCUUAUGUGAAAUUACCAAAAUGCCCCUACGGUGCAUAGUAAGGUUAUAAUUAAUAAAUUUCACAUAUAUAUGAUACCCUACUGUUAUAACUUAUUAAAUUUAGUAUAUUUACUGAUUAAAUUAGAUAUGUAACUCAGAUUACUAUUUGAACUCUUUUAUAACCUUUUAAAUGACCAAAAUGCCCUUACGGGGCAUAGUUUGAGUUUAAAAUCAUCUUGGGCAUAAUAGAAGAUAUCUUGCUGAUAUCACAACAUAUCUAUGGCAUAUUAACUUAGGAAACUUGUAUAUGAUUCAUAUGGUUACUCGUUACGCACUUUUCGUGUUCGGAUCGGCUUAUGUAACUAGUUUACAUAUAUUAGCCGAAGCGGGUCAAACCAUAUCAUUAUUGUCUCAAAAUCCAGAAUGUGUUUGAGUUACCCAUAUUAAAUAAGCACACAAGCUUGUCGGGUCAAAACCACAUUCUAAACCGGUCUUCACCUUUCAUGCGUUUGAACCGUAUCUUCUUUAAAACUAACCGGUCUAAGCUUAGGCUAAAAUAAAGACCCGUUAGGAUUCUAAUAGGUUAUUAUUAAACCUUCGUUCCAGAAUAGGAGACCCGGUAAAAGCUAUUUUCACUUUCUUAUUGUGACUAUACUUGCUCAGGUAAAUACUUUUAACUUAUUUUCCCUAUACGGGCUUGGGGUACGGUAUAUAAAAUACCGCUUGGUCGGGCAUUGAAUCUUUAAUCAAAUGAAGCUUAAAUCAUUGAAAUGACCCGUUAAAAUUGUUUUGUUUGCUUAAAGCCUUUGGGGGGUUAAUGACCAUGUCCCGGAUAUCCUUGGCAUCAUUUUACGAAAUGGCCACGACCUAAGCAUGCGGGUGUAGGCGUACGCUCGUUGGUGCAUAAAUAAAUAUUAAGGUAUAACCGCCGGUUUUGGGUUUAACCGCUGCGGGACUAUACCAUGUGGUGUGUCUAUUGAUCUUUAACCCGGUGUCAACCCGGGCUACUGAACGCAUAAGAAACAUGUAAAUCUUUUACAAGAUUAUAUUCAAAUAAUUAUCACAAGUUAUAAAAAAAAAGUUGUGCCAUGUGCAUUCAAAUCAAUUUUAAAUCUUUUCAAAAUGAGUCAGUUAAAUUGUAUUUACCAGUGUAAACUGACGUAUUUUCCCAAAAAGACUAAGUGCAGGUACUACUCGUAAUAGGCUGGCCUCUCCUUAGCAUCUAUAAGAGUCUCGCAAGCUUGGAUGCAUUGAGUCUGUUGAACUAGUUUCCUCUUUAUUUUGAUCCGCCUAUGGAUCCGUUUCAAUUACUUUGUGAUACUUAAAUAUUACAAUUUUAUUUGGUUGAAAUAAAUCUAUCUU
rnacentral:lncRNA from 1 species